UCUGCAGAGAUCCAUGUCGGUUGCAAGUUCUAAUUACAAAGGGUCUUUGCGUUCCCACACCCAAGUGUUAUGUAUCAUACCUUCAUCAAUAGAAAUUCAACGUUAGUAAGCAUUUGCAAAAUAAUUACGUCACAGGAAGUUUUCUGAUUAUUUUCAAUCGCCAAAUCGUAAACUCAUGGAUGUCUCGCCCCCCUCCUUAUACUACACGUGCUUGAAACAAAGGAUUAAAUUUAAAAAAAAAAUGUUUGGGGAGCUUCAGUCGGUGCCAUUGUAAGUUUUUUCAACGUGUUGGUAGAUCUCAGAGAGGUAGCAGACUGCAGACACUCAGACAGUGUCAUUGAUGGCAAUAGAUAUAAGAAUGAGUUUUGAGAUCCAGAAAAACAGGGAAAUUCUCUUGCUCAAUGCCACCACUUGGGCUAGGUAUGAAUAUAUAUUAUAUAGCAUAAAUAUGGUGAUGCUUUGACGAGUCUUUGCAGUGUCCUACCCUCGUUUAAGGUUUUUUGGAUAGUGGAUUUAGACUUGUAAGACUGAAGAAUAUAAUUUGUGAGGCACUGCGGACAAGAAAAGCGGAACUUGGGCUACUGUGGCCUCAUUAUUCUGCUCUUUACACGCGGAAAAGCCCAGUGAAGAAUGGAAAGUCACGAGGUCGCCAAGCUGCUGCAACACCACAUUCGACACCGAAGAAAAACGAACAGCAAUCUGAAUCUAAUGGCGAAAAAGAAUAAAUUGCUCGAACGUCUUCAAAGACUGCAAAAUCGGCAGUCCAGUCGUCCGUGGAUGCUAUGGGCUGUCACUAGUUCAAUCAUUCACCGCCGUCCCAUAAGAUUCUUUGGUGAAACUGAGAAACUGAGGAGAGGUUGCUGAAACUCAAGACUGAUGGAUAAAUUAUGUAGAUGUAGAUAAAUUACAAGGGCUUAUUUGUGCCCCCCCCCCCUCUCUUGCCCCGUUUCCCUAAGUAAACAGUAAUCAACCCCCGCCGUGAUAACCAGGAGGGAAUUGACCUUUAGUUCCAUGACCUUUUUUGGCUUUGGCAUAUUUUAUCGACUGCACUUUGUCGAUAUGUCGUCUCUACGUCUACCUGUAGUACUGUACCGGCGUAGAGUUCAAUCGUUGGCCGGCGUUCCAUAGACCUGAUCCAUUGCUGAGGAGAGGUUGCUGAAAUUCAAGACUGAUUGAUAAAUUACGUAGAAAAAUUACAAAUGUAGAUCUGUGCUCCCUAAGACCCUUAAGUAAACAGAAACCAAUUCUCGUUUUUUUAAUUUUUUAAUAUAUAUUUUUAUGAUAUUUUUUCAAGUACGAACUUGUAAUUUAGACUGAAGGAUUUAAUUUUGUGAGCACUGCGGACAAGAAAAGCGGAUUUUUUAUUACUGCGGCCCCGUUAUUCUCCUCUUUACACGCGAAAAAUCCCAGUGAAGAAUGGACGGAAAAGUCACGAGGUCGACAGUUUUUGCAACCCCAAAUUCGACAUCGAAGAAAACCAAACAGCAAUCGGAAUCGGAAUGGCGCAUUACGAAGCUCACAUUUACGAUGUGUUUGGCCUUGAUACAUUUGUGGGAACGUUCAUCUAGCUUCAUGCUGCUACACAACUUACAAUCUCAAUUUAGUAAUUUACUGACGAGUUGAACCACUUUAGUCCGCUGUGACAUACCUGUAGUCACUCACCACGGGAUUAUGCACAGGUAUCGAUAAUUGACUUAUUUUCGUAAAUUGUUAAUUAGACGUUUCUUUUGGCAAACGAUAGAUUUAUCAUAAGCCUUAGAUCAUUUUCAGCUGUCAAAUUUAGUCAGUUUCAGCUACUUUGCCCAUCCCUGUAAAAAUGUAUCGGCAGUUAUUGCGUGUUAACUUUUUGGUGAUAACUGACGAUAACUAUUCCACCAACUCACUUGUUAAUUGUUCGAUAAUGGUUUUUUCCCUACUAAAUCUGUUUCACGGACACGGAGAUGACGAAUAUUUUGGUUUAUUUUCCGAGUCACCCUAUUUUCCGUCCCACUCUAUCGUCCGUGGAUGCUAAGGGCUGUCACUAGGUGGCUAAAUAUUUCAAUGUGUUUAGGGAUUGAACUAUUCAGCCCUAGUGUGUAGAGGGAUGUACUGGAGGGGGGGUCUCACCACACCCAUAGUUGUGAGAAGAGAAACCAUAUGUCGUUCUUUUACUUCCGAGACGCUGACCGAGAAGGUUACUCUAGUCAUUAUUGCUGGGUACUUUCAUCCCUGAAAUUGUUCUUCAUAAAAAAAGGUUGGUGGAGAUUGUUCUCAAUGUGAAAUGCAAGAUCGACAAGAUGAGAUAAGUUGCCAAGCCUCUGAUGAGGCCUCUACCAUGCUGCGAGAUAAAAAUGUGCUCACUAGGCAAGCUGAAAUGGUUUCAUUGGUUAGAGAAAGUUUGAGCUGUUCAUGGUUGUGAUGUUUGGUGUGGCAGUCAUUUUCUGAUAGAGGUGCACUGAAAUGGAUCUUCUACAGACCUGCAGUUCAACAUCAUACUUCCAUUUACCAUGUUGGUGUCCAUGCAGAGUUGAGCUGUUGUGCAAAAUAAUAGGUGUUGCCUCAUGGCUUUCUGGCAAUUUGUUGGUGUGUUCUUCUGCUACCUGUAUCUAUGUUGAGUUCAAUCGAACGGCGCCGUUCCGGACUUGAUCCAUUGGUGAAGCUAAGAAGAGGUUGCUGAACUUCAAGAGAUUGAUAAAUUAUUUAGUCUUAGAGAUUUUGCAAAUUCAUAUCUGUUCUAUCUUUCCCCAAGUAAACAAAAUUUCCUCUUAGGUAGUUGUGUGGAUGGGUAAUUGCAAUGAGAUUUUGUAUUUUCUGUGAGAAAACUCAGUUAAAACCAUAAAAAUCUUGUGUACUGA